CAUCGAAGCACGGCCCUACUCUGGACGAGUUGUACGCGCCGCGGGACCAGAGCACGCAGACAGACGCACACACACAGGACAGACAUCAGACAAACUCCGAUGUUGGUGACAAAUUGAUUGACAAGGUGACAGCGAAGGACGUCGCACCAGAACAGGCGAGAACGGGCGACACAGUCAAAGUUACUGAGAAAAUCAAGUCCAGUGAUAAGGAUGAGGAACCCAAAGUAACGGAAAAAGUCGAAUCGGACGAGUCGAGUAAAGAGUCAGAGUCACAAGAGGCUGCCGAGAGCGAACCGGCGAAGGAGGGCAUUCGGAAAUUUCAUUACGUGCAUGACUUCCCCAUAUUCUAACAGCUAACAUAUGCAAUAUAACAAGGAACAAACAGAAGAGUCAGAGGGAGAAGAAACAUCGAAAAGCAGAUGGUGGCGCUACCUGUAUCCGUUCUACUACUUCGUUUGAGCGUCAAUUAUAUCUAUACAGUGCAAUUUUAUACAUAGUUCCGGUUUGUAUGACGAUAUCCUGCCUAUAGCGAAUAUUUAAUGAAUUUUUCCAAUCAAGAGUAAAAUGAAAAUGUUGUUUGAAAAUAUUACUAGCAGUGAUCGGACAAAUCAUCGUAAAACCAUCAAGAAUCAUUUAUAUCUCAAAAUAGGACAAGAUUUAUUAAAAACUCAUAUUAUGUAUAGCCUGACAAGUUCUUUUUUAGCCCUGAUAUAAUGUCGCUACAAACAGCUUACAUAUAGCAACAAUACGUGUACGUCAUGAAUAGUCGGGACAGUGUGUAUUGGCAUCGUGCAAGAGCGAGUGAGGUAUACAAUUAUGUACAUGUGAGUUGUAGAAGUAUGUUUCCCAAUCGAAACCCAAUCGAAAGAGCAUGUUUAGUUGAUAAUUAAGUAUGAAUAAUUUACCUAUCCGCCAUAAUUUGAUUCUAAAUAUUCGACCUCCGUAUAUAUAUUUACCAGAUUCAGUCACUCGUGGUGGUAAUGGCUCAUUCUUAUUAUAAAUAUUUUUGAUUAUAGCACUAAAGACGCCUUAAAUGAGAAAAAUAAUAAUUUAAUAAUUAAUAUUCAUAUUUAGUACAAAACUAACCAGUUUAUUACAAACUCACUAUGAAAAUCAGUACCCGUCAUGUCAACAAAUAAUUUCACAACAUUGUUUAAUGGAAUGCUACUGAAUCCCGUAUCCUUUUUCUGUCGCAAGUAUUUUAAUGUAUUUAAAAUUAUUUGUUUAGCAUCGGUGUGAAUUUUUUUGGGCAUUUUGAUUGCAAAAUCUAUUAUUAUCCUGAAAUAUUUACAAUCAUUUUCGAUUUGUUUACAUCGGUGACAUUCAAUGACUUUCAAUGUCGGAUGUCAAACAAAAUAAUUGCCAUUAAAAUAAAUUAGUUCCAUCGAAAAUCCGCAACGUGGCGAGGGCUAAAAAGGAACUUGUUAGGCUUUACACAGUAUCUUUAUAAAAAAUUUCCAGACUAUACUCAAAACAUGCAGAUCAAAAUUGUAUCAUGUUCCAUACUAUACCGGGUGUGGCCUGUAACAUGAGCAAAUAAUUAAAACAUAAAUUGUACUCCUCAAACGGUGACACUUUUGUUCUACAACUUUUAAAAAUUUUGAAUUAUUUAGACUCCCUAUUUUUCGCUCGCUCGCUCGCCUAGACUCGCCAUCGCCACGCCAUAUCAUUAUGAUUGACGUUGCUUGUCACGCCUUAAACAAAACAAAAUUUGCAAUACAUUGCGUCUUAGAAUAAACUUUAACACUUUGACUACCGAGAACCCGCCUGGUAGGUACUCGUAAUGUUUGCUCAGAUGCCGGACAACCCGCCCAGCGGGUUGUUUUGUACGCGGAUAUAGACGACCGGUUUCUGGGGUAGUGCGCCGUUUUUUGCCCGGUUGCGAAAGUGUGAAAGUGUAUUAAAAAUCAAACCACAAGUUAUUUUUGAAAGUCGCUGAACAAAUGUUAGUCAGUAUGAGGAGUACAGCCUACAGUUUAAUUUUUUGCUCAUAUUACAGGCCACACCCGGUAUUUAUUAUUGCGAUAAAUUGUCCGAACUCUGAUUAUUAGUAAUGAUUAUUACUUAAAAUGUUAUUGUAUACUUAAAGAAACUUACAAAAUAUUGAAAUCAACCCAAUAACCAAUGAAAAAUAUAAUUUCUAAUAAGAUUUUCAUCAAUAAUCGCAGUAACGAACGGAUCACCUCAAAAACAUCUGACAUUACGAUAUACAGGGUGUUACUGACCAUCGGGCUUUAAAUCCAGGGCUCGAUUCUACUCGCUAAAAUGAGCUACUUUUAUUAUGGCACCAACCCCGAAAUCCCGAAUUUUUGUUACAUUUUCAUACAUUUUGGCUGAUCAGAUGUCGACGUUUUCUCUGGAAAAGCCAAAAAAAUUUCCCCGUGUUUAGGGUUGGUCCCAUAUUAAAAGUAGCUCAGUUUAGCGAGUAAAAUCAAGCCCUGGAAUUAAAGCCCCAUGGUCAGACACAUACUGUAUAGAUUCUCUAUGAAUCGUAUUGUUGGAAUGACACUUUGACGUCACGUUUGUUUACAUGAUAAGACACGUAAGGAUGAAUACUUUAGUUGAAAAUGAAAUUAUACAUGUGUAGUAUAGAAAAUGUCCAGACUACGAAAAUUAUACACAAUAGCUCCGUGACUUCGUUUGCGAAGAAAUUAGGUAUAGUUAAACCAAGUCUGCAGCGAUUUCGAUAGCCCACGCAGUGCAAGUGUUAUUUAUACGUAAUGUGUAUAUUUCACAGAAGUUUGUUCGUUUAAAAUAACACUUGCACUGCGUGGGCAGUCAAAAUCGCUGCAGACUUUUCUUGGUCUAACUCUAGUAUUUAUAAUAAUUUCAUAUAAAUCGGUUCAGCGUACUGAUGUGCCGUUGGGAAGUUUCCAAAAAAACCAACAAACGUCUCUUUUCGGCCCAGUGGUUGACUGGUAGAGAAUGCUUCAACCUUAAGUAAUUAAGCCCACAAUUUAUACCUAUUAUUGUAUGUGCAAUAAAGUAUACAUAAAUCAAAAAUUGCGAAAUUUCAACACGGGAAAAAUAUCGAAACCUUCUUACAUACGGGAAUCGAACUUUUCCUGAAUUUCACGACAUCAUUUCCAACUUUUUGGAAACUUUGCAAAUUGUACAUGUAGUUCAGAGAUAUAAGCGUCAAGAGGCACAGACAGACAGACAGAGUUAACUACUUUCGUAGAUAUUGUUUGCAUAAUAAGAAAAAAUGUGUAUAAUUUUCGUGGCCUUUCGGUUUUGUGUAAGACCUAGUGAGUAUAAGAAGGUUUUAAUGAAUUUUAGUAAAUUUUUAACCAAAUUUUCUAUAGCCAUUCGUCGCCAAAGAUUUUCAUCAGUAACUAAAAUAUAAAAAAAAAAUCGUUAUAAGCUCAUGCUUUUUUUUCGAAUCGUCAUCUAUUGGCGGAUAAUGCCUAUAGGCUUAUAACUACGCUAUUUUUGCUUUUAUUUUUCGUGCAAUAAAGUUAUGGCUUAAUUGAAAAAUCAUUGAGUUCCACAGACGUUGUCUUAAAAACUGUUACAACUAAAUGAAAACCAAAAGAAAUAAAAUAUGCAUACAAAACUAGAUUAUAUCUCAUUUUUUAAAAUAUUUUUA